CUACGGGUUGCUCCAGUGGGGAAUAUUGGACAAUGGGGGAAACCCUGAUCCAGCAAUACCGCGUGUGUGAAGAAGGCCUGCGGGUUGUAAAGCACUUUCGGUUGGGAGGACUGCUUCUAGCACUAAUAUUGUUGGAAGUUGACGUUACCUUCAGAAGAAGCACCGGCUAACUCCGUGCCAGCAGCCGCGGUAAUACGGAGGGUGCAAGCGUGAAUCGGAAUUACUGGGCGUAAAGCGCGCGUAGGCGGCUAGAUCAGUCGGGUGUGAAAGCCCCGGGCUUAACCUGGGAACUGCAUCCGAUACUGUCUAGCUUGAGUACAGGAGAGGAGAGUGGAAUUCCACAUGUAGCGGUGAAAUGCGUAGAUAUGUGGAGGAACACCAAUGGCGAAGGCAGCUCUCUGGUCUGAUACUGACGCUGAGGUGCGAAAGCGUGGGGAGCAAACAGGAUUAGAUACCCUCGUAGUC
rnacentral:rRNA from 1 species